rnacentral:piRNA from 1 species
CCACUGAUUCGGACCACAUAACC